AUUGAACGCUGGCGGCAGGCUUAACACAUGCAAGUCGAACGAGUGGCGGACGGGUGAGUAAUGCUUGGGAAUUUAGCUUAUGGAGGGGGAUAACCACGGGAAACUGUAGCUAAUACCGCGUACCAUAGGAGGAGUCCAAGUGGGAUUAGGAAGUUGGUGGGGUAAAGGCUCACCAAGCCGACGAUCUCUAGCUGGUCUGAGAGGAUGACCAGCCAACCGGGGACUGAGACACGGCCCAGACUCCUACGGGAGGCAGCAAUGGAGAAUAUUGCGCGAUGGGAGCAACCUGACGGAGCCAUGCCGCGUGAAUGAAGAAGGCCUUCGGGUUGUAGGGUUCUUUCGGUAGCGAGGCGUUAGCUGCAGAAGAAGCACCGGCUAACUCCGUGCCAGCAGCCGCGGUAAUAC
rnacentral:rRNA from 1 species